GGGAGGGCGUAUAAUAAACAGCAUCGCUGUCACGCAGGCAGGGCUGCCGGCUCCCAAAGCCGCCUCCCCGUGAUAACAAUCCAGUAUUAGAACUCCAAAGGAAACUCAUCCCAUGAACACACAGGGAUACAGCUCUCCUUAUCUCUUGCAUAUCAGCUGCAGUGGAUGAGUUGCGGAGGUAAGAUUUCAAGUGGUGACAUCUGGACCAUUUAUGAUCCUCUCAUUUUCAACUUGAAAUGGUGCAGAACUAGAAGUUAGGAAGCUGCUUUCAGUAAAAGGUUUGAAACACUGACAACUACAGCUCACCAGAGUGCAUCGGAUAGCCUGCAAAUCAAUAGAAAGGUUGAUACGUAAUGGAUAAGCAUCAUCUAGACUAUGCACAUCAUACCUAUGCAAUAUAAGCCUAAUAUCCAUAUAAAUCAGAGGUAACAUACAAGCCUAUUCCUAUCAACGCGCAGUAUAAGUAAUCCAGGCAAAACCUGCAUUUAAGCAGAGGUAGUACUGCAAAAAGAAAAUCAGUCACCAGCUAAAGCACUAGAAUGAGGGCAGAAAAGUAUUUAGUAAUACACAUAGGAGGAAUCCUGUGGAUCUAUUUAUGCUGAUGCACCAUUAUAACAAAAAUAAACUGUUCUGGGACAUUUGUCUACGAUAUGAUCCUCAUGUAAGCAUCACUUUUUUUCAGGAAAGCUUGAAAAAGACACACAGAUGAGAGUUUUUCUGGAUCUCUAUAAUCGCAAUAUUGGAAGUGCUAAUGAGCAAUAUUAGCUCUGCAGACAUACAACCCCUUAUAACCAGCAGUAUCCACAUAGAGUAUACGCAUCCUGUCAAGGAUGCAGAAUUUCACAGAUUUCAUCUAAAAGUACUCCCAUCUCCUCUUACAUUUUGCAAGGAAAUGCUUGAAAGAUAACAGGCAAAACAGAACACACAGAUAGCAAUCAGUUGCACAGUUCAAUCUGUGCAUCACUUUAUUUUCACCAAGGUCAUUUCUAAUGCGAAUCAAAUUAGUAUUCAAAAAUUCCUAAUCAACAGGGCAAUACAAACUUGCUUCCUGGAAUAUAUGUUUUCUUCUGUACAUGCCCAUCUGCUGCAGAAGGCAGACAGAAAAUUUGGAGGUCCUCGUUAAAGCUCCAUAGGGACUGCCACAGAACAAAGCAUUUGUAUGAUUCUAUAUCACUUAGAUCUGAAUGGAAUAUUUAUUAAGGAUGGGAAAGUGAAGAAAUUAAUGUACAGGAAGUCUGAACUGGAAUACAAGAAAUAUUAGAUUAUGUGACUGCAACGUGGGUAUGAAUUUUUCUGCUCUUAAAACAAAAUGGUUUACAUCUCAAAGUACAGAGAAGCAAUAUGAAGUAAGGCAAAGUUAUGCCCACUACUGGCUGCCGCUCAAGCUCCUUAGAUCUCAUGCAAAGUGGGGUCUUCCACUACUUAUUAAUAUCCAAGGAAAUGCAAAAGCAAGGUUUGAAGGAAAAAAGUAACAUUUUUUUUCCCUCAAUAUUGGCAUCUCCACAUUGGCACUUCUGGCAAAUGUACAAAGCAGCAAGACUUUGGACAGUCAGGGUAUGAAAGGUGAAGAUAGGAAAUGUUUAAAAUAAGAAGGGCAUGGAAGAAAGGUGCUUUGAGCAGGGUUUGCUGCGGGCAUUUCUUUUGGCCUGGAGAGUGACACUGGCUCAGGACAGAAGAGUAUACUACAUAAAACAGCCCUCUAUAAACAAGCAUGUGCACGAGAUGGAAUGCCUACUGCUUUACAUGACAGCCUGGAAUUUUCAAGUCUCGGUUGCUUACUUAUCAAGGCCUUAGCUUACAAGCACAUCUCCAAAUUGCAGUGACUUGAUACUGAAACUCAUCUUUAUUUGAAGGAUUGGAACAAGUGGCAACAGCUCAAUUGAAAUCUCUGAAUCACUUUGCCUUUAAUCUUUUACAGGAGUCACUGCAAAAUACCGAAUUCUUGAGAAAAGCUCAGUGCUCCCCAUAAAGUCAUAAAACACGCAUCAAUACCCUACGCAGUGAGAAUUGCUUCACUUUAGUAGAGGAUGCAUUUUCAUUUAGAUGCUAAAAUCCCUUAAUAUAAUGAUAAAAAGCCAUAAAUUUCUUAUGGAAAGGUUGAAAAAGAGGCAUGGUUUUCUGAUGAUUCAUUUCUAUCACAAAAUACCAAACAACAAUGCAGUUUAAUUUGUCUACUUCUGUAAUACAUAAUGUUCUGUGACUUGCACAGACUGAACCCCUUCCACAGGCCAUCCUGCUGGGUUCAGAAAGCUGAAUUCCAGGAAUGCAUCUUUUACUGUCUCUCCUGACAGAAUUACGAAAGAUUACCUCCUACAACAGAAAUACAUACAGGGGAAAAAAGCUGUAUGGUACAUGUACUUGUCCUCCUGUCUUCCUCUAUGGGUAUAAAAGAUCUUACAUGUCAAAAAUAGAAAACACCUAAGGGGCGCAUUUUGUUUUACAUGUAGGAAAGCAGCAAUUAGACAUGGAGCAUCAUUCUCCUUAUAUUCAAAGCAUGGAAUUAAGCCCUCCUCAAACCAAUACAUUAAACCUUCUGGACAUCACUCUUGCAUGUGGUUAGCUUGCGUACUGUUAACAUAUCAAAGGUAUGCCCUCAAAUCAGUACCUGCUGCUGAUUUAAAAAAAAAAAAAAUUACUCGUAAGAAUCCCCAAGAAGAAAUAAAUGUCAUUUUCUGGUUGGCAUUGGUAGCAUUUCCCAUCAUUUGUGGUUAUCAGAGUCUGUUUCCUAAAACGUUUCCAGCAACAUCUGCAUUAACUUAGUCAUAGAAUACAACGUGGCAAAAUUAACUUUCAAAACAAUCCACGAGUCACAACUUCAAAUCUUCACUCACUGUUCAACUUAAAAGGGCACUUUUAAAGAUGCAUUUUGGUUAUCUCCCAAAUCAACUUAGAUCAGAGUUUAAUGAACAAAAACACAGCAGAAAUCCAUGAGAUUAAAAUGCUUGUCUUUUGCAUGUUAAUCCUGUUAUCCUUAGUAUGCCUAGUCUAAGGUACUGUAAUUACAUCGAGUCUUUUAAUGAGCUUUAUUUUCCCAACACAUGGAACAUACACACAAUUUCACUCUGCAGAACAAAGGAAUAACUUUCUACACUGUAAAGCUUCAAAAUCAUAAUUAAAGGAUUGGAUAUGUAGAGGGAAAUUAAAGUGGAAAGUUUUUUGUGCAGCCCUUUCAUUCAGGGCUAUUAUUUCAUUUCUUUUUUCCAGAAACAUAAAGCAGAUACUAAUGUUAAUAGAAACAAAAAUAAAAGUCUCAUGCUAUCACCAAGGAUGUUGCUAUUGUUUUCCAGUCCC